rnacentral:rRNA from 1 species
CCUACGGGUGACAGCAGUGAGGAAUAUUGGUCAAUGGACGCAAGUCUGAACCAGCCAUGCCGCGUGCAGGAAGACGGCUCUAUGAGUUGUAAACUGCUUUUGUACGAGGGUAAACGCAGAUACGCGUAUCUGUCUGAAAGUAUCGUACGAAUAAGGAUCGGCUAACUCCGUGCCAGCAGCCGCGGUAAUACGGAGGAUUCAAGCGUUAUCCGGAUUUAUUGGGUUUAAAGGGUGCGUAGGCGGUCGGAUAAGUUAGAGGGGAAAUCCCGAGGCUCAACUUCGGAAUUGCCUUUGAUACUGGCAGGCUAGAGAGUAGUUGCGGUAGGCGGAAUGCAUGGUGUAGCGGUGAAAUGCAUAGAUAUCACGCAGAACACCGAUUGCGAAGGCAGCUCACGAAUCCGCGAUUGACGCUGAUGCACGAAAGCGUGGGUAUCAAACAGGAUUAGAUACCCCUGUAGUC